AGCUUUGCGCAGUGGCGAUAUCGUAACCAAUGAGGUACAACCGAGGUGCGAUUAUUGCUAGUUGAAAACUAAAAACUAAUGG
rnacentral:snRNA from 1 species